GCGAGGGUGCCGGAGUGGCCAAACGGGCAAAAUCAUGCCUAUGGUUGAGGGCCUUGUGGCUUAGUGCCUGCGCGAGUUCGAACCUCGUCCCUCGCA
rnacentral:tRNA from 1 species